rnacentral:rRNA from 1 species
CGAAAGGCGUAGUCGAUGGGAAACAGGUUAAUAUUCCUGUACUUGGUGUUACUGCGAAGGGGGGACGGAGAAGGCUAUGUUGGCCGGGCGACGGUUGUCCCGGUUUAAGCGUGUAGGCUGGUUUUCCAGGCAAAUCCGGAAAAUCAAGGCUGAGGCGUGAUGACGAGGCACUACGGUGCUGAAGCAACAAAUGCCCUGCUUCCAGGAAAAGCCUCUAAGCAUCAGGUAACAUCAAAUCGUACCCCAAACCGACACAGGUGGUCAGGUAGAGAAUACCAAGGCGCUUGAGAGAACUCGGGUGAAGGAACUAGGCAAAAUGGUGCCGUAACUUCGGGAGAAGGCACGCUGAUAUGUAGGUGAAGCGACUUGCUCGUGGAGCUGAAAUCAGUCGAAGAUACCAGCUGGCUGCAACUGUUUAUUAAAAACACAGCACUGUGCAAACACGAAAGUGGACGUAUACGGUGUGACGCCUGCCCGGUGCCGGAAGGUUAAUUGAUGGGGUCAGCGCAAGCGAAGCUCUUGAUCGAAGCCCCGGUAAACGGCGGCCGUAACUAUAACGGUCCUAAGGUAGCGAAAUUCCUUGUCGGGUAAGUUCCGACCUGCACGAAUGGCGUAAUGAUGGCCAGGCUGUCUCCACCCGAGACUCAGUGAAAUUGAACUCGCUGUGAAGAUGCAGUGUACCCGCGGCAAGACGGAAAGACCCCGUGAACCUUUACUAUAGCUUGACACUGAACAUUGAGCCUUGAUGUGUAGGAUAGGUGGGAGGCUUUGAAGUGUGGACGCCAGUCUGCAUGGAGCCGACCUUGAAAUACCACCCUUUAAUGUUUGAUGUUCUAACGUGGACCCGUGAUCCGGGUUGCGGACAGUGUCUGGUGGGUAGUUUGACUGGGGCGGUCUCCUCCUAAAGAGUAACGGAGGAGCACGAAGGUUGGCUAAUCCUGGUCGGACAUCAGGAGGUUAGUGCAAUGGCAUAAGCCAGCUUGACUGCGAGCGUGACGGCGCGAGCAGGUGCGAAAGCAGGUCAUAGUGAUCCGGUGGUUCUGAAUGGAAGGGCCAUCGCUCAACGGAUAAAAGGUACUCCGGGGAUAACAGGCUGAUACCGCCCAAGAGUUCAUAUCGACGGCGGUGUUUGGCACCUCGAUGUCGGCUCAUCACAUCCUGGGGCUGAAGUAGGUCCCAAGGGUAUGGCUGUUCGCCAUUUAAAGUGGUACGCGAGCUGGGUUUAGAACGUCGUGAGACAGUUCGGUCCCUAUCUGCCGUGGGCGCUGGAGAACUGAGGGGGGCUGCUCCUAGUACGAGAGGACCGGAGUGGACGCAUCACUGGUGUUCGGGUUGUCAUGCCAAUGGCACUGCCCGGUAGCUAAAUGCGGAAGAGAUAAGUGCUGAAAGCAUCUAAGCACGAAACUUGCCCCGAGAUGAGUUCUCCCUGACCCUUUAAGGGUCCUGAAGGAACGUUGAAGACGACGACGUUGAUAGGCCGGGUGUGUAAGCGCAGCGAUGCGUUGAGCUAACCGGUACUAAUGAACCGUGAGGCUUAACCUUACAACGCCGAAGGUGUUU